AUUAAUUUGAGUCAUAUCUUGAAAGUUUUGGUGGUUUACUGAACCAAAUUGGAGAAUUUCAUCAUGUUCUUGUAGACCCUGAAAAAGAUGGUAUGGGAAAGAGUUGACCCGGGACCCAGUGAAACCAGCUAGUUAUUAAUAUGUUGACUUAAUUUAGGAUGUUCACAUUUACUUGAACAGUUUUUGAAUAAAUGAGGUCAUUGUUGUAA